rnacentral:rRNA from 1 species
GACGAACGCUGGCGGCGCGCUUAAUACAUGCAAGUCGAGCGAGAACCGGCCCUUCGGGGCCGGGGACAGCGGCGAACGGGUGAGUAACACGUGGGUAAUCUGCCCUCGGCACCGGAAUAGCCCGGGGAAACCCGGAUUAAUGCCGGAUAGCCUCUCGAGCUCUCGGGCUCGUGAGAAAAGGUAGCUUCGGCCUCCGGCCGAGGAGGAGCCCGCGGCGGAUUAGCUUGUUGGUGGGGUAACGGCCCACCAAGGCGACGAUCCGUAGCUGGUCUGAGAGGACGAUCAGCCAGACUGGGACUGAGACACGGGCCAGACGCCUACGGGAGGCAGCAGUAGGGAAUCUUGCGCAAGGGGCGAAAGCCUGACGCAGCGACGCCGCGUGCGGGAAGAAGGCCUUCGGGUUGUAAACCGCUUUCAGGAGGGACGAAGCCACUCGGGUGAAUAGCCCAGAGGGUGACGGUACCUCCAGAAGAAGCCCCGGCUAACUACGUGCCAGCCGCCGCAGUAACAC